CCUACGGGGGGCAGCAGUGGGGAAUAUUGCGCAAUGGGCGAAAGCCUGACGCAGCGACGCCGCGUGAGGGAUGAAGGUCUUCGGAUCGUAAACCUCUGUCAGCAGGGAAGAACGGUCACUGUGCUAAUCAGCAGUGAAUUGACGGUACCUGCAAAGGAAGCACCGGCUAACUCCGUGCCAGCAGCCGCGGUAAUACGGAGGGUGCGAGCGUUAAUCGGAAUUACUGGGCGUAAAGCGCUCGUAGGCGGUAUGUCAAGCCAAGGGUGAAAUCCCCGCGCUCAACGUGGGAACUGCCUUUGAAACUGGCAAACUGGAGUGUGUGGGAGGAUGGUGGAAUUCCAGGUGUAGGGGUGAAAUCCGUAGAUAUCUGGAGGAACAUCAGUGGCGAAGGCGACUAUCUGGAACAUAACUGACGCUGAGGAGCGAAAGCGUGGGUAGCAAACAGGAUUAGAUACCCGAGUAGUC
rnacentral:rRNA from 1 species